rnacentral:rRNA from 1 species
AGAUGGGAAUAACCCGGGAAACUGGGUAUAAUACCGAUAGAUCUCGACUGCUGGAAUGCAUCGAGAUCCAAAGCUCCGGCGCUCAAGGAUGGAUCUGCGGCCUAUCAGGUAGUAGUGGGUGUAGCGUACCUACUAGCCUACGACGGGUACGGGUUGUGAGAGCAAGAGCCCGGAGAUGGAUUCUGAGACACGAAUCCAGGCCCUACGGGGUGCAGCAGGCGCGAAAACUUUACAAUGCUGGAAACAGCGAUAAGGGGACCUCGAGUGCCAGGUUACAAAUCUGGCUGUCGUGAUGCCUAAAAAGCAUUGCAUAGCAAGGGCGGGGCAAGACCGGUGCCAGCCGCCGCGGUAACACCGGCGGCUCGAGUGGUAACCGUUAUUAUUGGGUCUAAAGGGUCUGUAGCCGGCCGGAUAAGUCUCUUGGGAAAUCUGGCAGCUUAACUGUCAGGCUUUCAGGAGAUACUGUCUGGCUCGAGGCCGGGAGAGGUGAGAGGUACUUCAGGGGUAGGGGUGAAAUCUUGUAAUCCUUGAAGGACCACCAGUGGCGAAGGCGUCUCACCAGAACGGACCUGACGGCAAGGGACGAAAGCUAGGGGCACGAACCGGAUUAGAUACCCGGGUAGUCCUAGCCGUAAACGAUACUCGCUAGGUGUCGGGCAACGGUGCGACCGUUGUCGGUGCCGUAGGGAAGCCGUGAAGCGAGCCACCUGGAAGUACGGCCGCAA